GGUGAUGAUUAUUUUUAACAGCUGCGGUAUUUUAACUGUUACUAAGGUAGCAUAAUAGUUUGCCUUAUAAAUUGAGGCUAGAAUGAAUGGUUUGACGAAGGUUAAUCUGUCUCUAUUUUAUUUAAUAGAAAUUAACUUUUAGAGUGAGAAGGCUUAAAUUUUUUAAAGGGACGAGAAGACCCUACUGAGCUUAUAAUUUUAUUUUAUUAUUUUUUAGGUGGUAAGGUAUAAAUUUUGAUUGGGGUGAUUAAGGAAUAAAGAGUAUAGGGUAACUUCCUUAAUAAUAGUAUAUGUGUAUUAAGUAACCAAUAAAUUAUAUUGCUUAUAUUAUAGUUACCAUAGGGAUAACAGCGUAAUUUGCUUAAAGAGUUCUUAUUGAAAAGUGAGAUUGCGACCUCGAUGUUGGAUUAAAGUAACCUUAAGGUGUAGAAGCUUUAUUAGGUAAAUCUGUUCGAUUUUUAAAACUUUAC
rnacentral:rRNA from 1 species